AUGUUUAAGCUGCAGGUCCCUGGACCCAAGGGCACUGAACACAACAAGCGAAAGCUCAAAUGGCCAUUUUGGAGCGCUUCCCGCAGGCGGCCGAGGUCUGGAGAAGCUGGUGGCAGGGAACCCAGGAGAAUGCCUUUGACGAUGACCAAAGGCUGGGACGGGUGGGAAGGAAGUGAGAAGAACGCCGCAAACCCAGCGGGCGAAAGCUUAUCUAUUCUCGUGACUCUGCUCACUGGCUCGCCUAGGACACCGCCACAGAGAUUUUUGGCAGGCCCAGCUCUCACCUCCCUGCCACUGACACUCAGCACCUCCGCCCAGUUCGGCAGCAUGGAGUACUUUCACGCGGCUGAGCAACCUUCUUUGGAUGCGCUGAGCCUGAUCCUCUGCCCACGUGCUCUGUGA
rnacentral:lncRNA from 1 species